GGGCCUAAAGGAAAACAGGCUUGUGACACAGCCAGCACAUUGUCAGCUGGAAGCUAAGGCUAGAAGACCACUAAUGUCUUCUGUUCCCAGGACAUCUCCACUGAUGCUCUGCCUGUUACAGAAUCGAAUCAAACAUGCUACUGUGUGGCAGCACACUUAUUGUGAGACAAUUGUCUGGAGGACCAUUUUCUCAGAAGUCUAUAAAGAACUGGAUAGAAAACCCUUUAUCCAGUAGCUGUCCGAAGCAGAAACAGGCACCCACAGCUAAGCACUGAAC